UGUCGAGUGAUGAUAACAUUUCCACCUGCCAGUAUCUGUUGAAAUGGUCGAAUAGAUUACACGGUGUGCCUUGUGCUGCUGCCUUUUGUAGCACCAAGAAUGUUUGAACAAGAAGUACUGACGUGUUUUGCAUCCUUCGUUUGUGUUUCUUCUUCUUCUUUUCUCUUUUAUCUCAUUAUAUCUUUUCUUUUCAGGUGGAAGUUUGCAUGUUCUAAGAAAAUGGAAUUGCAUUUCUUGGUUUUCGUGUCUCAACAAAUUCAGUGCUGCUAUUGGUUUGGAGUGGAUUCCGGGUUGGACGCAUGAAAAGGUCUGUUUUUUUGGACCUUUUUUUUUAAUCCACGGUUCGGAUGGUUAGAUGAUGUAAAACGUUUGGCAAAUGUUGACACGGAUUGGACUCGAGCAAGAUCUGAUCUGCUACUAGGAGAGAGACGGAGAGUACCACUAACUACAUCCUUGAAACAAGUCAAUGGUAAUUGGGACAUAUUGGUUUGGAACUUUGGAUAUGCUUAUAUGCUUUCUAGAAGGAAAGUUGAUUUUACAAUUGAGAGAUCGGAUAAUCGAGGGGAAAAGUGCCUUGUACGGAAGGCUCUUGGCUGCGGUGGCUAAGUUACGUGGUGCUGCACGUUAUAAUUGCUUUUCGUCGCUGGCCCAAUCAAAUUGACAAAGCAACGUGGAAGAUACUCGCUAGCCGCCUUGGCUGGAAUGGUGCGACUUAAUUCAGAGAUUUGGGAUAUAACAUACAGUAUGAUGUUACUUCUUUAGGUCUGUUUCACGACCUUUGCAGUAUUUGUACGUCUAAUAAAAGUAACAGUUGACAGGUUCUUCUCUACCACCACGGAUAUGAAUAUGGGGCAGGAGUGGUCAUCAGAUCAGAUGCACUGCUCUUGAGCUGGUCACUGUCAGGAUUUGAUUCAAAAAAAUUGUACAAUUCAGAUCAUUUCUUAUAUUUUAUUUUUAACGUCGUGUG